CCUUUGACGUUAGCGGCGGACGGGUGAGUAACACGUGGGUAACCUACCUAUAAGACUGGGAUAACUUCGGGAAACCGGAGCUAAUACCGGAUAAUAUUUCGAACCGCAUGGUUCGAUAGUGAAAGGUGGUUUUGCUAUCACUUAUAGAUGGACCCGCGCCGUAUUAGCUAGUUGGUAAGGUAACGGCUUACCAAGGCGACGAUACGUAGCCGACCUGAGAGGGUGAUCGGCCACACUGGAACUGAGACACGGUCCAGACUCUACGGGAGGCAGCAGGA
rnacentral:rRNA from 1 species